CAGUAGCCGCGGUAAUACGGAGGGUGCAAGCGUUAUCCGGAUUUAUUGGGUUUAAAGGGUCCGUAGGCGGACUUAUAAGUCAGUGGUGAAAGCCUGUCGCUUAACGAUAGAACUGCCAUUGAUACUGUAAGUCUUGAGUAUAUUUGAGGUAGCUGGAAUAAGUAGUGUAGCGGUGAAAUGCAUAGAUAUUACUUAGAACACCAAUUGCGAAGGCAGGUUACCAAGAUAUAACUGACGCUGAGGGACAAAAGCGUGGGUAGCGAACAGGAUUAGAUACCCCUGUAGUCCCUGUCUCUUAUAC
rnacentral:rRNA from 1 species